AGUCCCGCAAGAGCCAAAGUGCAAAUUUGGAGAAGCACCCCAAAAGGUGCCGGGGCUU
rnacentral:tRNA from 1 species